CAAUGACUCCAGACUAGUCACUCUCACUAAGAGAAGACAUAGCAUGUACUGAUCUUAACAGACUGUCAAUGCCCAAUUAGCAAUCCUAUGAUCAGGAACGUUUAGGAUAUGUAUACGAAAGAGAAUGGUCUCAUUAAUCUAACUUGUUUAAAUCACAUUAUCCUAAUUACAUAUUCCCUGGACUUAUCGUUUAAGCAUAUAACAUUUAUAUGAGACGGCUUAAAACAAUAAUCUUUGCCCUUGAUAUUAAACUAGAUUAGUUUAACAUGUGAAAUGUUCGUAAAGUAUCAUCAUAUGAUUGGUUUUAGGGCACAUUUCCAACAAUCUCCCACUUGCACUAGAGCCAAUC
rnacentral:lncRNA from 1 species